AAGAUCAUAAUCGAAGAAAUAAAUACCAUCAACCCUAGCCAUUUAAACCCAAAUUACACCAUGGAAAUGUUGAUUCAAAGCCCCUGGGAUUGGGGCUUUGGUUCCUCUCCUAAAACCCUACCGUUUGUGCACAAGAAUUGGAAGAGAUCAAGGGAACAAAGAACUCACCGUGACCGGAGAUUUUGUCAGAGUCAAGUAAACGCUUAUAUAUCCUUGCCCCUGGAUUUGGGAAUGAGUGGAGAAAACCAUAACAAGAAAUUCAUUGAACCAAAGUAGUUAACCAACCAAAGGUGCAACUUGGUCAUGGCUUGUGAGGUGUUUGUUUUCUCUCAUUCUCCUGUUGCAAUUCCUACUCCAAAUUGGCUAGACAUCUUAGGUGAUAGUUGAUGAAUGCUUGGAACAAGGUUGUUAUGGUUUGUUGAACAGGGUGUUGGUGUUGGCAUGGUUUUGACAUUGCUUGGCACACUGCAAGGAUGUUUGGCUAAUGUUUAUGCUUGGUUGAUGAUGAACAAGGAUGUGGGUUUUGUGUUUGCAAGUGUUGGUCGUGGUUUAGUUGCAGGGUAACAAGCAAUCAGGAUUGAUUUGGCCUUUGGUGCAGUAGGGCAAUGGAUUGACAUGGAAUUCUCUGCAGGCCAUUUGCUCGCAUUUGUUGCAUCCAACUUGGUCUAGUCGCACUGCAGAUUAGGCUCUCCCUUAUUGAAUGAAAUGUGGUUGGCUUGAUGGUUGUAUGUAGGGUCUACUCCAGGCUUACCAGCUUAUUGCAGAAGAGGAUGUUCAAGCAUGCUGGAAUUACAUUCUGAUACAUCUCAGGUUCGUGGAUGGACUAGUGAGAUGGAUCAUUAUGAGGCACCAUGUCUUAUUCCUAUUUGAGAAUAUGCCUGUUGGUUUUUGUAGGCUUCUACAGGAUGAUGACAGGAUGCAAGUGUAAGGCUUGUCAUGGACCAUGUUUAUCAAGGUAGAGUUAUGGUUGGCAAGGCAAAAAUGACAAAGUCAUGGCAUGAUAUGCAUGAUUUUGAAAAUGGGCCAAGUUACUUAGAAAUGAAGAAACAAGGCAAAAGCACAUCAACAUGACCUUUAGAUUAUGAAUCAAUGCAAAGUGGGUUAGAUUAGGUCUUAGGUGGUCAAAAAAGAGUGAGUUGACUUUGGUCAAAGUUGACCAAAAAGUCAACUGCUGACCAAAGUCAAUAUUUGGUCAAAGUUGUCAAAUUUUGUAUUUUUUCAUGUAAUGGUUUAAAUGGUUUGAAAUGGAUUGAAAAUGGUUU